CAUUAAGUUGCUAUUACAGUGUAGGUAGUUACAUAUUGGUCAUCUUGUCACUUCUAGCUCUAGUACCUUAACUAUGAACCCCUCACAAUUCGAUGCACUCACCCGACAAAUAGCGGCUAUUCAAACUCAAAUGACCGCUACUCUUGAAGAGAGUAAGGCCCUAUCUGUUAGUUUGAAAAAUUUUAAACACAUCCCUCAUUCGAUUGAUGUUGAUAAUUCUAAGGUGUCCCAUAAUAGACAACAUCGUCGACAAGGUAAUCAAAAAUACUUUCGACCCGAUCGUAAGGAUAGGGAUAGGAAUAGGGAUCAGAUUCGUGAGCGAGAACGAGAUGAUUUUGAAAUUCUUACUCAAUGGAAUGCCCUUAAACAAGGAAAUCAAUUAGUGACUGAGUAUAUCGCGCAAUUUGAGGAAUUUCGAACCAAUUGUCAUUUAAUUGAGGAUGAGAGCACGACUUUGAGCAGGUUUAGCCAAGGUCUGAGAAAUGAUCUUAAGCGCGAGCUGUUCCUUCGAGGUGUCACUACUCUUGAUCACGCUUACUCUUUAGCUCGAGAUUAUGAGUUGAUUAUUAGUACUCCAUAUGAAAAGCGUGGUCA
rnacentral:lncRNA from 1 species